rnacentral:ribozyme from 14 species
UCUCGCAAUACACAUAUAAUACUUUAUGUAUAUAGUAGGAUAAUGAAUAUAUGUAUAUAUAUAAUACUUUGUUGUCUAUGGCUAUCUGUUCUGGGUUAUGAUUUUUUCUUCUCCUCAUUAUUUCCUUCUUCUUCC